CCCUGCUGCUCUGUGGCAUGGCUGACCUGAACCCAAGAGCACAACUCCUGAAUAAGUGGACUGAAUCCCACUGGGUUGUUCACAAUCUCUGCUGCUGAGUGACUAGGAAGAAUACAUAUGCACACGCGUGAGGCUGCUUCGCACAUGGUGAAGAGGUCAGCAUAGAAAUGGUCCAAGCGUUUAUUUUUCACAUCUGCUCUGCGUCCAGAGAUCAGUUUGGAUUGUUUACACCAGCUGCUCACCAGGCUGUGACUCAAAUUCAGCUGACGAAGUAGCUGUUAUAAAAGCAAGGGAAGUCCCCUCAAAGGAUCCAGGAUACCGAGUUACUACCCCUUCAUAGUUUGGCAGAGUUCUCUCACCAAGACAGACUGGCAUCACCUUCCCAAUGAAUGAAAUAUGACUACAUUGACUGGAAUUCAGGAAGCCUUCCUAGACCGUGGAACCUCAGAUCAAGGACAAGGAAUCAAUAAGCAGAGUGAGCUGGAUCCCUGAUGCUUGCAGAGGGGCUCCAAGGACAGCAAGCUCUGGAAUCUUCUCUGCACCAACACCGAGGGCCCGUGAAGAAAGGUCCAUUUAAACACAAGCAGUCAGACUGCAUCCAUGGCAGACCCAGGACCAGACAGACCAACCCACAAC